rnacentral:rRNA from 1 species
CUGGGGUCNNNANNGNCUNGANUUGCAAACUUUAUUUAGCGANGAACNAAUUGGANGGCNAGUCUGGUGCCAGCAGCCGCGGUAAUUCCAGCUNCAAUAGUGUAUAUUAAUGUUCCUGCAGUUAUUCGAUGCUCGUAGUUGGAUUUCUGGAGGCUGAGACAGGAAGGCAGCCAAGGUUGUCGCCAGUCUCUUCCUUCAUCCACCUGUUAACGUUGUCCGGGAUUCAUUUCUCGGCUUCGGGCUCAGGUAUUUUACCCUUUCUAUAUAUUCAUUUAUUUACUUUUUGAGCAAAUUAUAGUGUUUCAGGCAGGCGUGCGCCGGAAUACAUUAGCAUGGAAUAAUCGAACAGGACCGUGUAUUCAUUAUUUGAAUUCUUCCUUAUUUGUUGGUUCUAAGGACACGGAAAUGGUUAAUAGGGAUAGUAAUUUUCAGGGGAGGCAUUAGUAUUUAAUUUCCAGAGGUGAAAUUCUUUGAAAUAUUAAAGACUAACUUAUGCGAAAGCAUUUAUUUUGCCAAUAAUGUUUUCAUUAAUCAAGAACGAAAGUUAGGGGAUCAAAGACGAUCAGAUACCGUC